UACGGAGGGGGCUAGCGUUGUUCGGAAUUACUGGGCGUAAAGCGCACGUAGGCGGCUUUGUAAGUUAGAGGUGAAAGCCCGGGGCUCAACUCCGGAAUUGCCUUUAAGACUGCAUCGCUCGAAUUGUGGAGAGGUAAGUGGAAUUCCGAGUGUAGAGGUGAAAUUCGUAGAUAUUCGGAAGAACACCAGUGGCGAAGGCGGCUCACUGGUCCGGUACUGACGCUGAGGUGCGAAAGCGUGGGGAGCAAACAGG
rnacentral:rRNA from 1 species